ensembl:lncRNA
GUCGACGCGGGACGCCUGUGGGCAGAGACGUCCGUGGAAGUCGGGCUGCUUUCACGGCGGCCUUGUAUGUUUCUGUUGCUCUGAGCUCGAUCGAAAAAACUGGUCUGAAUCCAGGUCCUGUGCAGAUGGAGAGUUUUGGUUUGGGAUGGCCGGUGGAGACCCCUCACCUGCCGCCGCUCUCGGUCUACUCCAGAACGUCGUUCCAGCACGCGUGCGCUCAGACACCCUCCGCACCCUUACAGCACCACACAGCCGGGGUCGUGGGUCACUGCUGGACCUCUGGCCGCAGGAGAUGCCUGGACGACUCCGGCCUGGGGGAGACCUACGUGACCCCGUGUAAAAAGGCGCCGGGCCGCCGGCUUUCGUGGCACGGUAGGGUGCGCGGAGGGGAUUGUGGCGAUGGCAGCCUGACCUCUCUGUUGCAGGAGAACCACGAGACGGGUAGCAGCUCCAGACAUCCGUGGCAUCUGACGACCAGCACGCCCCAUUCCAGAACCGUCCGGCCAUAUGGGGAGCAGAUUCACUCUCUGAGCCCUAUAGCGUAUGGUGGGGAGCACCAGGGUUCCUCUGAAUUCAGCAGCCUGGGCCCACCACCGCAUCGGAGUGUUGGUGGUCUGAGGCUCGGCUCUGAUGAAGGUUCUUUUCUAGCGACCGUGUUGGACGGCUCGGUGGGUCAAAAAUCGGCCAAGCGCACUGUGACUUUUCAGACACCCGUUAAAUGUAGUAAAAAUGCCGUAAAUGUUACUUCAACCCCUUCGGUCGCAACAAGGCCCAAAACAAAAUGGGGUUCCGGGGGGCUCACCAAGCUCAAACUGACGGAGGUCCUGCCGCACGAGAGGAUUUACUCCGACUUGCCUCCCACUGCCGAAUUUGGCACUGCGGACCGGAGUCUCGCGGGCGGCCUGGCGCUGCGGGACUCGGACCGCGUUCUCACGGCUGUCCGGCGGCGCGGUGAGGAAGAGUCGCGCUCGGUCGGUCGGCGGGUGAGGGUGCUGCGUGAUUCGCUCACAGCCAACACCGGCUACUGCAGCAGAGUGCUCGACGUCCCGGUGAAUUCCAAAGUGGCAUUCCCGCCAUCGUCAUCAUCAUCACUGUCCAAGCAGCUUUUUAAGAGUGAAGUUUGUAAUGAUGACAAGGCAUGGCAAAUUGGGGCGCCCAUUCCCCAGCUCGUAAGCUACAUUCCUGAGG